rnacentral:lncRNA from 1 species
AAAUGCUUCAGGCCACCAAAAUGUUUGGGACGGCACUGAGGAAAUGUACUAGAUAAAUAAAUUUGAAUAAAUCAUUAGUCUCUAAAAGAAUAGAAGCAUAAAUUAGAAUUUGACUGGCUAGGGUUUUAAGAAACUGUGAAUGCGUAAAUAAUUUUCUACAACCUCAUUUACGUAUAAACAACAAAGCAAAAAAAAACCUAGUAAAUAUAUAUAUAAGCUCACAAGAUAAAUCUUUUCACAGGUCCUUAAUUUUUUUUUGAAACACAACUGUCAUUAAAAUAAAAAGAUUUUAAGCAAGAGCAAAGCCCUCACUUGAUACAAGUAGUACUUGUUUUGCAAGCAUAUCAGCUGCUCUGUUUUCUUUCCUAGAAAUUCAAUCAAACGAGAUAAAUUCAAAAUAGUUCACAAUGCAGCGAAUAUCCGCCACGACUCCAUACAAGUAGAGUGUUUCUAUUCUUGUUGCUAUUAAUAAGCAGCGAUAAAUCAGCUAGAUAUUUCAAGUUCCGGAUUCCCAGGUCCUUGCAUUUCAGAAGCGCUGAUCUAAGUGCCAAUCCUUCUCCCAUGAGAAGUGAGAACACAUGUUGCUCCAUUACCGCAAAUUGUAGUACUUCUUCAUGUCUUGUGAUGGUCCAUUCUAAGCCAGCCG